ensembl:lncRNA
CUGUAAGGAGCAAGGUAGCCCGCAGAGACCGCUCCUUCCCCCGGAUCAGUCCCGUCAGUGGAGCGCGAGGCGCACACACACACACACACACACACACACACUCACGCACACUCACUCACACACGCGCAGCUCACGCACGCGCUGGUCGACACGCGUGAAAGGUGCGACGCAGAGUGGACUCACCGGAGGACUCUGGUAGUGUGCGCUGGACUUAAACGGAGCAUGAAUCUGUCAUCAAGACAUCGAUCCUCGCCUCUAGACAAACCAAGUGAACCUUUCAGGGGGAAAUCACACGCGGGCACAUUUUAAUGCCACAUCCUCCGCGCACGGAGGGCGAUGCACUCGCCUCUUGUUCUUCAGGCUGCCACCGUUUCUACAUGACUGCAUGAACUCAGCGCUGGAUAAAUAUAUAUAUAUAUAUAUAUAUAUAUAUUUUCUGCAGAGACAUUUGUUGUUGUUUUUUGUUGUUGUUGUUGUUUUCUCCUCUCGGUAGUUUUUUUGUUUUGUUAUUUUUGACGGGUUGGAGAUUCCGCGCAACAGAGAGCGGCGGCAGCGCGCGUGUUUGAGCGCAACCUCCCAGUGACUCGGUCGGAGUUUGACUCCCCAUCAUGGGCCACGGUGCGCACACCGCCGGAGAGGGACGAGGAGCGCCCGAGAUGCGGACUGCGUCUUGGCUUUUGGUUAUCCUCCUGAUGGACGUCGGCCUGGCUCAAGAUGCACAGACACGUUGGAGUUGCGGGGAUGCCUCGGUGUGAUGUAUGGGCUUCAUUUCCCCCCCACGGGCCGUCUCCAGCUCGGCACAAG